GUGGGGAAUAUUGGACAAUGGGCGAAAGCCUGAUCCAGCCAUGCCGCGUGUGUGAAGAAGGUCUUCGGAUUGUAAAGCACUUUAAGUUGGGAGGAAGGGCAGUAAGUUAAUACCUUGCUGUUUUGACGUUACCGACAGAAUAAGCACCGGCUAACUUCGUGCCAGCAGCCGCGGUAAUACGAAGGGUGCAAGCGUUAAUCGGAAUUACUGGGCGUAAAGCGCGCGUAGGUGGGUUUGUAAGUUGGAGGUGAAAUCCCCGGGCUGAACCUGGGAACUGCCUCCAAAACUACUGAGCUAGAGUACGGUAGAGGGUAGUGGAAGUUCCUGUGUAGCGGUGAAAUGCGUAGAUAUAGGAAGGAACACCAGUGGCGAAGGCGACUACCUGGACUGAUACUGACACUGAGGUGCGAAAGCGUGGGGAGCAAACAGGAUUAGAUACCCUAGUAGUCC
rnacentral:rRNA from 1 species